rnacentral:rRNA from 1 species
UCKCCGCCCGCGACUCGGCGAGAAGUCCAUUAAACCUUAUCAUUUAGAGGAAGGAGAAGUCGUAACAAGGUUUCCGUAGGUGAACCUGCGGAAGGAUCAUUG